AACCCAUGGUGAAGGCAUCUUCUCAGGAGGUCAUUGCAUCUCUCCCAUGCAUCAUAGAGUGAUUCUAAAUCCAUCUACACAAAAUAAGAGAUAUCAUUAUGUAAUU
rfam:Gossypium arboreum cultivar AKA8401 contig_136575_1, whole genome shotgun sequence.